UAGUCCACGCCCUAAACGAUGAAUGUUAGUCGUCGGGUAGCUAGUCUAUUCGGUGAUGCAGCUAACGCAUUAAACAUUCCGCCUGGGGAGUACGGUCGCAAGAUUAAAACUCAAAGGAAUAGACGGGGACCCGCACAAGUGGUGGAGCAUGUGGUUUAAUUCGAAGAUACGCGAAGAACCUUACCUAGCCUUGACAUAUAUUAGAACACUUUAGAGAAUAGAGUGGUGCCUUCGGGAGCUUUUAUACAGGUGCUGCACGGCUGUCGUCAGCUCGUGUCGUGAGAUGUUGGGUUAAGUCCCGCAACGAGCGCAACCCUUGCCAUUAGUUGCCAGCAUUAAGUUGGGCACUCUAAUGGGACCGCUUGCCGAUAAGGCAGAGGAAGGUGGGGAUGACGUCAAGUCCGCAUGGCCCUUACGUCCAGGGCUACACACGUACUACAAUGGCCGGUACAAAGCGCUGCUAAGCCGCGAGGUGGAGCAAAUCGCAAAAACUGGUCUCAGUUCGG
rnacentral:rRNA from 1 species